rnacentral:rRNA from 1 species
ACGGGUGAGUAACACGUGGGCAACCUGCCCUUGAAACUGGGAUAACUUCGGGAAACCGGACCUAAUACCGGAUAAUAUGAGGAACCUCCUGGUUCCUUAUUGAAAGAUGGUUUCGGCUAUCACUUAAGGAUGGGCCCGCGGCGCAUUAGCUAGUUGGUGAGGUAACGGCUCACCAAGGCGACGAUGCGUAGCCGACCUGAGAGGGUGAUCGGCCACACUGGGACUGAGACACGGCCCAGACUCCUACGGGAGGCAGCAGUAGGGAAUCUUCCACAAUGGACGAAAGUCUGAUGGAGCAACGCCGCGUGAGUGAUGAAGGCCUUCGGGUCGUAAAGCUCUGUUGUUAGGGAAGAACAAGUGCGAGAGUAACUGCUCGCACCUUGACGGUACCUAACCAGAAAGCCACGGCUAACUACGUGCCAGCAGCCGCGGUAAUACGUAGGUGGCAAGCGUUAUCCGGAAUUAUUGGGCGUAAAGCGCGCGCAGGUGGUUUCUUAAGUCUGAUGUGAAAGCCCACGGCUCAACCGUGGAGGGUCAUUGGAAACUGGGGAACUUGAGUGCAGAAGAGGAAAGUGGAAUU